ensembl:lncRNA
AAGUGCUGUUAUUGUGAAGUGGAAAUGUCUUGGAGCAACAACGGUCAGCUGCGAAAUGGUAGGCCGCACAAGCUCACAGAAGUGGACCGCCGAGUGCUGAAGUGCGUAACGUGUAAAAAUCGUCUCUCCCUGGCUGCAACACUCACUACCGAGUUCCAAACUGCCUCUGGUAGCAAUGUCAGGAUUGUAGGGAGAAGGCAGGAAUUACACCUAGAGUUUAAGACCUAGGUCCAAAGUUGUGGACAUUUUACAAAGGCACUCAAAACCACCUGUACAGAUACACGCCUCUUAAACCAACAAACAGAAUCAUUCAGAUUUGUUAUUCAUCCAUUAACUUUGUUAUUCAUACACAAACACACACAGGACCAGCAGAUGAGAGAGUGCCUGAAAUGACUUAUGGGGACAAUGCUGAUUCCAAUAUCCAAUCAAUUUCAGUCUGAGUUAAUGGGAAUAGACCAAAGGUCCUUUGUCCAUUACAAUGACCAUGAAUACACUGAACAAAAAUACAAACGCAACAAUUUCAAAGAUUUGAAUGAGGUACAGUUCAUACGCUCUGAAAAGUAGGGUUUCAAAGAGGGUUCUUCUAGGAUCCUCAGUUCUUUGAAGAACCUUAAGCUUCUUGGCACUGAAAAUUACAUCCAAAAGGUUCAUCCAAGAACCCCAUAGGAGGUGGGGUUCACCGAGGAACCUCCUUAGUUGGUGGGGGUUCUUGCAGGAACCUAACUGCCCAACUGAAAUAUUUGGAUUUUAAUUGGAAAGAACAGCAGGUGCAGGAACUUAAAUUAAAAAUGUCAAGAUCGCCUCAAUUUAAGAAAAUGGACCCAAUUCAAUGGAUAUCAACCAACAAAGAGGUAUACAGACGAGGAGGCAUACAAAGGUAUUGGUAUGUUAUGCAGAUCACGUUUAACAUCCUCCUCCUUUACCUCUUCAAUAAACAUCCCAUAGGCCUCUACAUUAUGGACAAGACUUCACCUUCCCUACACCUCUGAUUAAUAUAACAGGAAACCUGUUUGAUCACCAUGCACUGCAAAAUCAUUGUGGCUAUGGAUACGGAGAACAUCAUCACAUUAACAUCAACACGCCAGAGAACAUACCCAUUGGACUUGGGCUCUGCUGGGAGUUUACCUCAUAUUUAGAUGUUUUUAUUCUGCUGUGCCA